GUCCCCGUAGCUUACACCAAAGCAUGGCACUGAAGAUGCCAAGAUGGCUGCUCAACAUGCAUCCCAGGGACA
rnacentral:tRNA from 1 species